UACGGGGGGGGCAAGCGUUGUUCGGAAUUACUGGGCGUAAAGGGCGCGUAGGCGGUUUGCUAAGUUGGAUGUGAAAACUCUGGGCUUAACCCAGAGCCUGCAUCCAAAACUGGCAAACUUGAGUACUGCAGGGGAGACUGGAAUUCCUGGUGUAGCGGUGAAAUGCGCAGAUAUCAGGAGGAACACCGGUGGCGAAGGCGGGUCUCUGGGCAACUACUGACGCUGAGGAGCGAAAGCGUGGGGAGCGAACAGG
rnacentral:rRNA from 1 species